UACGAAGGGUGCAAGCGUUAAUCGGAAUUACUGGGCGUAAAGCGCGCGUAGGUGGUUCAGCAAGUUGGAUGUGAAAGCCCUGGGCUCAACCUGGGAACUGCAUCCAAAACUACUGAGCUAGAGUACGGUAGAGGGUAGUGGAAUUUCCUGUGUAGCGGUGAAAUGCGUAGAUAUCGGAAGGAACAUCAGUGGCGAAGGCGACCGCCUGGCCUAAGACUGACACUGAGGCACGAAAGCGUGGGGAGCAAACAGGAUUAGAAACCCUGGUAGU
rnacentral:rRNA from 1 species